AUUGAACGCUGGCGGCAGGCCUAACACAUGCAAGUCGAGCGGAUGAGAGGAGCUUGCUCUUCGAUUCAGCGGCGGACGGGUGAGUAAUGCCUAGGAAUCUGCCCAGUAGUGGGGGACAACGUUUCGAGAGGAACGCUAAUACCGCAUACGUCCUACGGGAGAAUGUGGGGGAUCUUCGGACCUCACGCCACUGGAUGAGCCGAGGUCGGAUUAGCUAGUUGGUAGGGUAAAGGCCUACCAAGGCGACGAUCCGUAACUGGUCUGAGAGGAUGAUCAGUCACACUGGAACUGAGACACGGUCCAGACUCCUACGGGAGGCAGCAGUGGGGAAUAUUGGACAAUGGGCGCAAGCCUGAUCCAGCCAUGCCGCGUGUGUGAAGAAGGCCCUCGGGUCGUAAAGCACUUUAAGUUGGGAGGAAGGGCUUACAGCGAAUACCUGUGAGUUUUGACGUUACCGACAGAAUAAGCACCGGCUAACUUCGUGCCAGCCGCCGCGGUAA
rnacentral:rRNA from 1 species